UGAGUGGAAGCCUGGGAGGCACCCUUGGUCAGGCUGUCAGCAGCCCUGUGGAGCAGGAAGGCUUAGUUGGCCCUGUUUCCUUGCCCCGGAGAGCGGAGACCUUUGGAGGAUUUGACAGCCAUCAGAUGAAUGCUUCAAAAGGAGGUGAGAAAGAAGAGGGAGAUGAUGGCCAGGAUCUUAGGAGAACAGAAUCAGACAGUGGUCUGAAAAAGGGUGGAAAUGCUAACCUGGUAUUUAUGCUUAAAAGAAACAGUGAGGUAAGGUCAUUAUGAGCUGUUUAAAAGAAU